rnacentral:rRNA from 1 species
UACGGAGGGGGCAAGCGUUGUCCGGAAUCAUUGGGCGUAAAGCGCGUGUAGGCGGCUCGAUAAGUCUGCUGUGAAAGUCCAGGGCUCAACCCUGGGAUGCCGGUGGAUACUGUCGAGCUCGAGUCCGGAAGAGGCGAGUGGAAUUCCUGGUGUAGCGGUGAAAUGCGCAGAUAUCAGGAGGAACACCAAUGGCGAAGGCAGCUCGCUGGGACGUGACUGACGCUGAGACGCGAAAGCGUGGGGAGCAAACAGG